rnacentral:lncRNA from 1 species
AUCUCAUUCUCUCUCUGGGAACUUGUCUAGACCAGUAGCUUUUGCUUAUUUACCUUUUGUCAGACAGUGAAUCCUUCAGCCAGAAUGUUAAUAGAAAGUCUCUACAUCUGCAUCCUUCGGGAGGAGCUCCUGGAGCCUUGCAGACGGCCCCUCACUUGGAAGGAAUGCGAUGGAUCAUUGCAGAGAAAAGGAGCCCAAAUAUUCUGACGGCUCAGACAUCAAAGGGGCUCCACUUGUGAUCCCAGCUGGGGACAGCGGGACUCCUGACAGGAACGUAACUGGAAUACAACACUUCCUGGAGAGUCAGACCUUGUCCCAGUAAGAGCCAGAGAUGAAGGAUGCCUCCUCCAAGGCCAAAGGCCACUGACUGCCCUGGGCCUUCAAGACUGGAUUCCUGCAGCAAGACGGAAGUGAAGGCUUGCGGUAU